rnacentral:rRNA from 1 species
UACAGAGGUCUCAAGCGUUGUUCGGAUUCAUUGGGCGUAAAGGGUGCGUAGGCGGCGCGGUAAGUCGGGUGUGAAAUCUCGGAGCUUAACUCCGAAACUGCAUUCGAUACUGCCGUGCUUGAGGACUGGAGAGGAGACUGGAAUUUACGGUGUAGCGGUGAAAUGCGUAGAUAUCGGGAGGAACACCGGGUGGCGAAGGCGAACAUCCUGGACCCGGUAU